UAUUACGGGAAGGCACAUUUUCUGUAGCUUUGCCCGAAGAGAGAAGCUGUUUUCUCUCAGAGAUGGAACAUGUUAGCUGGUUGCCAUGAUGUCUUCAUUUGUCCAUCGCUGCCCCUCUGUGAGCAGGCAGCCAUCAGGACAGAGAGUGGCAUGCUGGACAGGCCGACUCUGACAAGGAGCAAGCUACGCAGACAUUGUGCUGGAAUUUCUAUGCUGAAGAAUUAAGCUAUAUUGUUUGGCAAAAGAAGAAACUGAAAACAAGAAAUCCAUCCCUUUCUACCACUGCUAUUAUAUCAUCCACGUUUAAAAAAAAAAAGUUUGUAUGUAGUUAUAUACAACAAGAAGUUUCUGCUUCGGAUUUCUCUGUUGGGCAGGGUGGUGGGAGGGAUGGGGUCUCGAGUUUUUCCCAAGUGAAAUCCUGGUAAUCCUGCCUGAGAGAAUUCUUAUGAAAGUUUCACUCACAAUGAAAGCAAACUUCCAAGGUGGAGGAGGGUGAAGCCGGCUGGCUGGACCGAUCACUGAGGCCCAGUGCUGCGAAGAGAGUUCAGCACAUUAUUCCAACCCUUUCUGGGAGCACGGCCCAGGCUUGGCACCGGUUUGGUGUUCUCGAGUGUGAUGCAUUCUGAAAACCUGGCUGCGUCCGUGGCCCAGCUCCAGUUCUGCAGGGCUCAGCAUCAGGCUGCCCCCUCUCCUAAGGUGUUUUGCAGGAUCGCCCCUCA
rnacentral:lncRNA from 1 species